rnacentral:rRNA from 1 species
AACGAACGCUGGCGGCAUGCCUAACACAUGCAAGUCGAACGGGAUCCUAGCUUGCUAGGUGAGAGUGGCGGACGGGUGAGUAACACGUGGGAAUCUGCCUUUUGGUUCGGGAUAACCGCGGGAAACUGCGGCUAAUACCGAAUGCCCUCGAGAGAGGAAAGAUUUAUCGCCAGAAGAGGAGCCCGCGUCCGAUUAGGUAGUUGGUGGGGUAAAGGCCUACCAAGCCGACGAUCGGUAGCUGGUCUGAGAGGAUGAUCAGCCACACUGGGACUGAGAUACGGCCCAGACUCCUACGGGAGGCAGCAGUGGGGAAUAUUGGGACAAUGGGGGCAACCCUGAUCCAGCAAUGCCGCGUGAGUGAUGAAGGCCUUAGGGUUGUAAAGCUCUUUUGCCAGGGAAGAUGAUGACUGUACCUGGAGAAUAAGCCCCGGCUAACUUCGUGCCAGCAGCCGCGGUAAU